AACAAGGCAUACAUGAUUUUAGAACCAGGACUUGUUAUUUUGGUUACGAUGGCAGCAGUAGUGGCAUUUAUAGUGAUAGCUCUACCAGGAAUUGUUAAAGGAGGAAACAGUACUAUAACAGUUGAUCCCAACACAACAACGAUAAGACCAGUGAUUGAAUGUCCUUACAGCAAACUUGGCCAGUUUGAAAAGGUGCUCAUUCACUUACAAUAAAAUGGAUGAAGGAAUGUUUAAGUGUAGAUUGAGUGGAGGAGGCAAGUUGGAAGUGAGGACAGUCAAAAAUGAAUACACAAAUGAGAAGAAAUUGAUGUACUUGAGAUUGAUAGGUCUAGUCAUAGUCACGUUUAGAAGAGCGAACUGCCAGGGAAAUCGUGGCAGAGAGCAAGGAAGACACUUGGCAAAGUUGACAUCAGAAAGACAACAACAGCCAACACCAAAGCAACGACUAGCAGUGAUUCCACUACUGGCUUCAAAACCACAGAACUCACAACUGAUUUGGGGACAACAACUAGUGAGGCUAUCACGACUAGUUCUGCUCAAUCCUCCUCCUCGACCAAUGUUGAGGAAACUGAGAGCAGUGUUACUGCUACUAGUUUGUAUGGAACAAAUCUGACUCAAACAACAGUUGUUGAUGAUGAUGGAAACACUAUGAGUCACCCUGCUUCUACGGCUGUGGCUGUAACCGAAAAGAAUGGUGUGAAAAGUGGUGAUCGCACUCAAGAAGAUGGAUAUAGAGAGAGAUACAUCGGCAAGGUUGAUAUCAAAGAAACAAAAAAGGUGACAGAGAGUAAGGAAAAUGUGACUAAUCACGCUACUUCAAUCACACCUUCAAGUGCCAACAGAGUCACCCGUAGAGGGAUAAUACAUCACACUACCGAAAUCACAAAAACCGUCGAAAUCAAGAAUGUUUCUAGGAGAGUGGAAAUAACCGAAGUAAUCAACACAACUCCAGAGUUGGACUUGAUAGACUUUCUGCCUCAUUAUAGUAGUGUCAAGGUGGAUGAACAAUAUACACUUUUCACAAAAUGUGGCUGCUGAUUUUUAUAGAAAUUUUUUAUCUACAAUCUAGUCAAAAAUAAAUUUUGGAUCAAAAUGAAUGUACCGGUAAUCAAAAUUAGGGUCGAAAUUAAUAGGAAAUCCACCUUUUAUUUUUCAUUCUUUUGUUUUAUAUAGGAUGUUUAAUUUUUUUAUUUUUGUUAUUUUGGACUUGAAAUACAAUAAAACAUGUUCUGGAAU
rnacentral:sRNA from 1 species